GCCGGGCGUGGUGGCACACGCCUGUAGUCCCAGCUACUCAGGAGGCUGAGGCAGGAGAAUUGCUUGAACCCAGGAGGCGGAGGUUGCAGUGAGCCAAGAUCAUGCCACUGCACUCCAGCCUGGGCGACAGAGCAAGAUUCUGUCUCAA
rnacentral:SRP_RNA from 1 species